rnacentral:rRNA from 1 species
AUUGAACGCUGGCGGCAUGCCUUACACAUGCAAGUCGAACGGCAGCACGGGGCAACCUGGUGGCGAGUGGCGAACGGGUGAGUAAUGCAUCGGAACGUGCCAUUGAGUGGGGGAUAACGUAGCGAAAGUUGCGCUAAUACCGCAUAUUCUGUGAGCAGGAAAGCAGGGGACCGCAAGGCCUUGCGCUCUUUGAGCGGCCGAUGUCAGAUUAGCUAGUUGGUGAGGUAACGGCUUACCAAGGCGACGAUCUGUAGCGGGUCUGAGAGGAUGAUCCGCCACACUGGAACUGAGACACGGCCCAGACUCCUACGGGAGGCAGCAGUGGGGAAUUUUGGACAAUGGGCGCAAGCCUGAUCCAGCCAUUCCGCGUGAGUGAAGAAGGCCUUC